UUAGACGGAAAGACCCCGUGCACCUUUACUAUAGCUUCACACUGGUAUUCGUGACGACAUGUGUAGGAUAGGUGGUAGGCUUUGAAACCCGGGCGCCAGCCUGGGUGGAGCCACCCUUGAAAUACCACCCUUGUUGUCAUGGAUAUCUAACCGCGGCCCGUCAUCCGGGUCCGGGACAGUGUGUGGUGGGUAGUUUGACUGGGGCGGUCUCCUCCCAAA
rnacentral:rRNA from 1 species